GAUGAACGCUAGCUACAGGCUUAACACAUGCAAGUCGAGGGGCAGCAUGGUCUUAGCUUGCUAAGGCCGAUGGCGACCGGCGCACGGGUGAGUAACACGUAUCCAACCUGCCGUCUACUCUUGGACAGCCUUCUGAAAGGAAGAUUAAUACAAGAUGGCAUCAUGAGUCCGCAUGUUCACAUGAUUAAAGGUAUUCCGGUAGACGAUGGGGAUGCGUUCCAUUAGAUAGUAGGCGGGGUAACGGCCCACCUAGUCUUCGAUGGAUAGGGGUUCUGAGAGGAAGGUCCCCCACAUUGGAACUGAGACACGGUCCAAACUCCUACGGGAGGCAGCAGUGAGGAAUAUUGGUCAAUGGGCGAGAGCCUGAACCAGCCAAGUAGCGUGAAGGAUGACUGCCCUAUGGGUUGUAAACUUCUUUUAUAAAGGAAUAAAGUCGGGUAUGGAUACCCGUUUGCAUGUACUUUAUGAAUAAGGAUCGGCUAACUCCGUGCCAGCAGCCGCGGUAAUACGGAGGAUCCGAGCGUUAUCCGGAUUUAUUGGGUUUAAAGGGAGCGUAGAUGGAUGUUUAAGUCAGUUGUGAAAGUUUGCGGCUCAACCGUAAAAUUGCAGUUGAUACUGGAUAUCUUGAGUGCAGUUGAGGCAGGCGGAAUUCGUGGUGUAGCGGUGAAAUGCUUAGAUAUCACGAAGAACUCCGAUUGCGAAGGCAGCCUGCUAAGCUGCAACUGACAUUGAGGCUCGAAAGUGUGGGUAUCAAACAGGAUUAGAUACCCUGGUAGUCCACACGGUAAACGAUGAAUACUCGCUGUUUGCGAUAUACUGCAAGCGGCCAAGCGAAAGCGUUAAGUAUUCCACCUGGGGAGUACGCCGGCAACGGUGAAACUCAAAGGAAUUGACGGGGGCCCGCACAAGCGGAGGAACAUGUGGUUUAAUUCGAUGAUACGCGAGGAACCUUACCCGGGCUUAAAUUGCAGAUGAAUUACGGUGAAAGCCGUAAGCCGCAAGGCAUCUGUGAAGGUGCUGCAUGGUUGUCGUCAGCUCGUGCCGUGAGGUGUCGGCUUAAGUGCCAUAACGAGCGCAACCCUUGUUGUCAGUUACUAACAGGUUCCGCUGAGGACUCUGACAAGACUGCCAUCGUAAGAUGUGAGGAAGGUGGGGAUGACGUCAAAUCAGCGCGGCCCUUACGUCCAGGGCUACACACGUGUUACAAUGGGGGGUACAGAGGACCGCUACCACGCGAGUGGAUGCCAAUCCCCAAAACCUCUCUCAGUUCGGACUGGAGUCUGCAACCCGACUCCACGAAAGCUGGAUUCGCUAGUAAUCGCGCUUCAGCCACGGCGCGGUGAAAUACGUUUCCCGGGCC
rnacentral:rRNA from 1 species